rnacentral:rRNA from 1 species
GACGAACGCUGGCGGCGUGCUUAACACAUGCAAGUCGAACGGAAAGGCCCUGCUUUUGUGGGGUGCUCGAGUGGCGAACGGGUGAGUAACACGUGAGUUACCUGCCCUUGACUUUGGGAUAACUUCAGGAAACUUGGUCUAAUACCGGAUAGGAUCUCCUGCUGCAUGGUGGGGGUUGGAAAGUUUCGGCGGUUGGGGAUGGACUCGCGGCUUAUCGGCUUGUUGGUGGGGUAGUGGCUUACCAAGGCUUUGACGGGUAGCCGGCCUGGGAGGGUGACCGGCCACAUUGGGACUGAGAUACGGCCCAGACUCCUACGGGAGGCAGCAGUGGGGAAUAUUGCACUAUGGGCGGAAGCCUGAUGCAGCAACGCCGCGUGCGGGAUGACGGCCUUCGGGUUGUAAACCGCUUUCGCCUGUGACGAAGCGUGAGUGACGGUAAUGGGUAAAGAAGCACCGGCUAACUACGUG